rnacentral:rRNA from 1 species
GUUGAACGCUGGCGGCGUGCCUAAUACAUGCAAGUCGAGCGAAGCGGGGACGGGUGAGUAACACGUGGAUAACCUCCUAUAAGACUGGGAUAACUUCGGGAAACCGGAGCUAAACCGGUUACUUAUAGAUGGAGCCUCGCUGCAUUAGCUAGUUGGUAAGGUAACGGCUUACCAAGGCAACGAUGCAUAGCAGACCUGAGAGGGUGAGCGGCCACACUGGAACUGAGACACGGUCCAGACUCCUACGGGAGGCAGCAGUGGGGAAUCUUCCGCAAUGGGCGAAAGCCUGACGGAGCAACGCCGCGUGAGUGAUGAAGGUCUUCGGGUCGUAAAGCUCUGUUAUUAGGGAGGCGGUACCUAAACAAAAAGCCACGGCUAACUACGUGCCAGCAGCCGCGGUAAUUC